GACGAACGCUGGCGGCGUGCUUAACACAUGCAAGUCGAACGGAAAGGCCCUGCUUUUGUGGGGUGCUCGAGUGGCGAACGGGUGAGUAACACGUGAGUAACCUGCCCUUGACUUUGGGAUAACUUCAGGAAACUGGGGCUAAUACCGGAUAGGAGCUCCUGCUGCAUGGUGGGGGUUGGAAAGUUUCGGCGGUUGGGGAUGGACUCGCGGCUUAUCAGCUUGUUGGUGGGGUAGUGGCUUACCAAGGCUUUGACGGGUAGCCGGCCUGAGAGGGUGACCGGCCACAUUGGGACUGCGAUACGGCCCAGACUCCUCCGGGAGGCAGCAGUGGGGAAUAUUGCACAAUGGGCGGAAGCCUGAUGCAGCAACGCCGCGUGCGGGAUGACGGCCUUCGGGUUGUAAACCGCUUUCGCCUGUGACGAAGCGUGAGUGACGGUAAUGGGUAAAGAAGCACCGGCUAACUACGUG
rnacentral:rRNA from 1 species